GCGCCGAUAGUCCAGUGGUAAGACACGAACUUUAUGGUGGAAGCUUCCCAAGCUUGUGACCCGGGUUCGAUUGCGCUGCUGAAGCAGGCAAAUUCAGUAGUGCUGAACAUCCCGGUCGGCGCA
rnacentral:tRNA from 1 species